rnacentral:lncRNA from 1 species
CUUUCUAGCCUCCGCCUCCAGGCGGGUGAGGAGGUGACACCUGAGAAUUCCUCCCUCUCACCCCUGACCCUGCCGGAAAGCGAAACUGAGAUGCGGGCAUUGGGCCCUGGGAAGCGUGGGGAAGGGGAAAGGAGAAAGCCAGGUUAACUACGUCAGGAUUAAUGUGUUCCACUUCUGCUGCCUGAGAUCAAGUCUUUGUUGUCUUGCUGAGUUUUGUCUGUUUCAUGGAACACAACAAUACACUCUACAGGAAGAACUUUAACUAAAAAGCCCUUAUAUUUCGAUUCCAGAAAAUGGAGAAAUUAAGUCCUUUCCAUGGAUCAUUCCUUCUGUAAACAGAGAUCACAAAGCAAGAGCUUCAGCAUCCUCGUGAAAAAGACAUUUUGUUCUGGGUGUCAUCAUCUCCUUCCACUACAGCUUGCAAUUGGAACAAGCUUCACAUCCUGGGGGUGCUGCCUAUCUCUGUCUUGAUUUCUGUCUGUCUAUUCCUCCCAUUGACAGGAAUGUCGUUUGUAUCCUCCACGCAGCAGUUUGCAGAAAUCCAGCAAGGUUUAUGGUUUAUGUUGCCCAGCAUGUAUAAACACAACGCUCUCAAAUGCUUUUUAAAAAUCUAUGAAUUUGUUAGAUGUCUUCACAUCCUGGUCCUCCUACCCCAAUUCUCAAACACAAAGUACUCUGUUGCCCUAUUAUAGUCCUGCGAUAGUUCUGGCUAGGAUUAGGUUGACGGUCUAAGCCCCAAGAAAGGCCUGGCAUUUUCAUAGCAGGCUUUCCCCAGUGCUUUGAGUCUUCCUCUCUCACUCCCUUUUUCUUUUUCCCUCGGAGGAGGGGGUGUUGGGGGUGGGAGGUGAUUAGUAAAUGUUUCAGGUAAUCUGUGAAUUCUUAAUAGUCAUAUUUCCGUGGUGGAAGAUCUCCCUAUUUCUCUGAUGUGACAGGUUACAGAAACCUUGGUGUUGGGGGUUUUACAGAUAUUUACAAGUUCUAGGAGUUUGAACUUUGGGUCAAGAUGUUGAUUCCUUUUAAUGUGCGAGGGUGAAGGAGGUUUUAUUUUGCUUUAUUCUUUUGGAUAUUAUGAGAUGAGAUUGUAUCCAGUCUUGGCUGUAACCUAUACCAUAAAUGCAGAGCUGCAACCA